AGAACGAACGCUUGCGGCAUGCCUAACACAUGCAAGUCGAACGCUUCCGGGGCUUCGGUCGCGGAGGAGUGGCGCACGGGUGAGUAGCGCGUGGGAACCUGCCCUGUUGUGGGGGAUAACCGAGGGAAACUUCGGCUAAUACCGCAUACGCCCCGGGACUUGGUCUUCGGAUUAGGUCUGGGGGGAAAGAUUGAUCGCAGCAGGAGGGGCCCGCGUCGGAUUAGCUGGUUGGUGGGGUAACGGCUCACCAAGGCGAUGAUCCGUAGCUGGUCUGAGAGGAUGAUCAGCCACACUGGGACUGAGACACGGCCCAGACUCCUACGGGAGGCAGCAGUGGGGAAUAUUGGACAAUGGGGGCAACCCUGAUCCAGCAAUGCCGCGUGAGUGAUGAAGGCCUUAGGGUUAUAAAGCUCUUUCGCCCGCGACGAUGAUGACGGUAGCGGGAGAAGAAGCCCGGCUAACUUCGUGCCAGCAGCCGCGGU
rnacentral:rRNA from 1 species